rnacentral:rRNA from 1 species
UACAGAGGUGGCAAGCGUUGUUCGGAAUUACUGGGCGUAAAGGGCGCGUAGGCGGUCCGAUAAGUCCCGUGUGAAAUCCCUCGGCUAAACUGAGGAACCGCAGGGGAAACUGCCGGGCUUGAGUUCGGGAGAGGGAAGCGGAAUUCCGGGUGUAGCGGUGAAAUGCGUAGAUAUCCGGAGGAACACCGGUGGCGAAGGCGGCUUCCUGGACCGACACUGACGCUGAGGCGCGAAAGCUAGGGGAGCAGACGGG